rnacentral:rRNA from 1 species
GCAUAACGCGAAGAACCUUACCCACCUUUGACAUGGCAGGAACUUUCCAGAGAUGGAUUGGUGCCUUCGGGAACUCUGACACAGGUGCUGCAUGGCUGUCGUCAGCUCGUGUCGUGAGAUGUUGGGUUAAGUCCCGUAACGAGCGCAACCCUUGUCCUUAGUUACCAGCACGUUAUGGUGGGCACUCUAAGGAGACCGCCGGUGACAAACCAGAGGAAGGUGGGGAUGACGUCAAGUCCUCAUGGCCCUUAUGCGUAGGGCUUCACACGUCAUACAAUGGUCGGUACAGAGGGCUGCCAACCCGCGAGGGGGAGCCAAUCCCAAAAAACCGAUCGUAGUCCGGAUUGCAGUCUGCAACUCGACUGCAUGAAGUCGGAAUCGCUAGUAAUCGCGGAUCAGAAUGUCGCGGUGAAUACGUUCCCGGGUCUUGUACACACCG